CAGCCGCCGCGGGAAUACGUAGGGUGCGAGCGUCAAUCGGAAUUACUGGGCGUAAAGCGUGCGCAGGCGGUUGUGCAAGACAGAUGUGAAAUCCCCGAGCUUAACUUGGGAACUGCAUUUGUGACUGCACGGCUAGAGUGUGUCAGAGGGGGGUAGAAUUCCACGUGUAGCAGUGAAAUGCGUAGAUAUGUGGAGGAAUACCGAUGGCGAAGGCAGCCCCCUGGGAUAACACUGACGCUCAUGCACGAAAGCGUGGGGAGCAAACAGGAUUAGAUACCCGGGUAGUCCCUGUCUCUUAUAA
rnacentral:rRNA from 1 species